GAUGAAGAACGUAGCGAAAUGCGAUACGUAAUGUGAAUUGCAGAUUUCAGUGAAUCAUCGAAUCUUUGAACGCACAUUGCGCCCGCCAGUAUUCUGGCGGGCAUGCCUGUUCGAGCGUCAUUUCAACCAUCAAGCGCCUCGCUUGGGUUGGGGCCCUGCGGCUGCCGCAGGCCCCUAAAUCCAGUGGCGGGCUCGUCGUCGUACCGAGUGCAGUAAACAUCCUCGCUCAGGGAACCCGACGGGUGCCGGCCGUGAAACCCCCCCUCCUCAAGGUUGACCUCGGAUCAGGUAGGAAUACCCGCUGAACUUAAGCAUAUCAAUAAGCGGAGGA
rnacentral:misc_RNA from 1 species